rnacentral:lncRNA from 1 species
GGAUGGUCUCUAUCUCCUGACCUCGUGAUCCACCCACCUCGGCCUCCCAAAGUGCUGGGAUUACAGAUUCUGGUCUUUCUUAUGGGGAACCUGAGUUCCUGCAUUAAAGUUCCCCCAGAAGAUCAAUGGAAGGUGGAUUCCAAAGAGUGGGCAAGUGAGGACCCCUUCUCUGUUACCAAGGUGACCCCAAGGAACACAGUAAAUGAAAUUUUAAGAAGAUAUAGCCUCUACACCAAGAGGCACAUGACACAACCUGGACUCUGGGCAAACCACCGGGUGCACUCACAUGAAGUGGCGGCUUAUUUGGCCUCCCCAGGACGGACUGGAGCAUCAGUAGUGCCUGAGUUCAUCAAAGGACAGAUGCUCAAGACACCUUGAUCACCAUUAGGUGGAAUUGAAGGAGCCAAAAAUGGGCGCAGUGGCUCCUCAGCAGAGACGCUCCUGAAUGUAUAGACAUGGGAACCACUUUCAGCAUCAAAAAAGGAAACGUUCUGCAUGCCCAUAUCCAGAAAAAUCCCCACUCGCUGUAACUUGCGGUCUACUAAGAGGAAAGUCAGCGGCACCGUGCUGGCAGAGAGGCGGCUUCCAUCCCUCAAACUCACAGUCCAGAAUCCAAGCUCUGUGGUCAGCUGGAUCUUCCCUUUGCAGUGAACAGAUUCUCUGCAGACUCCCAGGUCCCAUUCUGUGCUUGUUCCCACGUCCACCUCCCAGUAGUGGCGGCCACAGGUAAAGCGAGGGGAGCCCAGGAUGCAAACGGACACGUCAAAUCUCUCGGCAAGGUCUUGCCGAUUCUGUGUGAUGAGCCCACUUCGGACGCUCCUGAGGUCGUCAGAAAUGAGGAGGAAGUUGUUGGCUGUGUCGGCAUCCAAGGUCAUAUCCACUGUGAAAAGGAAAACAAGUUGCUCAGCAAGUGGACAGAAGCCAACCCCAUGCCUCUCUUCUACUUCAAAGGCCCAAAUAUCUCCUGACUUUAGUUUCUUUAAUUCUGUUUCUUCCUCCAAAAUCAAAACUUUUCAUGAGGAAACUUCCCUAUUUCAAAUUUUCAUAGGUAUGCUUUGUGGCAAUACGUGACUCUUAUUCACAGUAGCAAUUCUUAUUUUACUUUACGUCACGUGUUUGCUUCACUGAACUUUUCUUCAUUUAGAGUGGAGGGUCUCUGAAGGCAGACACCAUGCCCCCCUUUCUACCACCUUGAUGUGUGAACAAAUAAAUGAUAAUUAA